GACGAACGCUGGCGGCGUGCUUAACACAUGCAAGUCGAGCGGUAAGGCCCUUUCGGGGGUACACGAGCGGCGAACGGGUGAGUAACACGUGGGUGACCUGCCCUCAGCUCUGGGAUAAGCCUGGGAAACUGGGUCUAAUACUGGAUAUGACUCCACGGUGCAUGUCGUGGGGUGGAAAGCCUUGUGCGGCUGAGGAUGGGCCCGCGGCCUAUCAGCUUGUUGGUGGGGUGAGGCCUACCAAGGCGACGACGGGUAGCCGGCCUGAGAGGCGACCGGCCACACUGGGACUGAGACACGGCCCAGACUCCUACGGGAGGCAGCAGUGGGGAAUCUUGCGCAAUGGGCGAAAGCCUGACGCAGCGACGCCGCGUGAGGGAUGACGGCCUCGGUUGUAACGUAC
rnacentral:rRNA from 1 species